UACGGAGGGGGCUAGCGUUGUUCGGAAUUACUGGGCGUAAAGGGCUCGUAGGCGGCCAACUAAGUCAGACGUGAAAUCCCUCGGCUUAACCGGGGAACUGCGUCUGAUACUGGAUGGCUCGAGUUUGGGAGAGGGAUGCGGAAUUCCAGGUGUAGCGGUGAAAUGCGUAGAUAUCUGGAGGAACACCGGUGGCGAAGGCGGCAUCCUGGACCAACACUGACGCUGAGGAGCGAAAGCCAGGGGAGCAAACGGG
rnacentral:rRNA from 1 species